UACGUAGGAGGCGAGCGUUGUCCGGAAUUACUGGGCGUAAAGAGCGCGUAGGCGGCGCUGUACGACCCGUGUGAAAGCCCCCGGCUCAACCGUGGAGGGUCAUUGGAAACUGGGGAACUUGAGUGCAGAAGAGGAAAGUGGAAUUCCAAGUGUAGCGGUGAAAUGCGUAGAGAUGUGGAGGAAUACCGAUGGCGAAGGCAGCCCCCUGGGCCAAUACUGACGCUCAUGCACGAAAGCGUGGGGAGCAAACAGG
rnacentral:rRNA from 1 species